rnacentral:rRNA from 1 species
UACGUAGGGUGCGCGCGUUAAUCGGAAUUACUGGGCGUAAAGCGUGCGCAGGCGGCUUUGCAAGACAGAUGUGAUAUCCCCGGGCUCUACCUGGGAACUGCAUUUGUGACUGCAAGGCUAGAGUACGGCAGAGGGGGAUGGAAUUCCGCGUGUAGCAGUGAAAUGCGUAGAUAUGCGGAGGAACACCAAUGGCGAAGGCAAUCCCCUGGGCCUGUACUGACGCUCAUGCACGAAAGCGUGGGGAGCAAACAGG